UUUUUUUGGAGACUGCUUCCUGGUGAAGAUUGCCUCAGUGUUUCCCAGUGAAGGCAUCCAUAUUGUUGUCUCCAGCAAGAAACAGGAGAGUCUGGGAUUCCUUUCACAGAAAAUGAACUGAUACAGAUUUGGAUGGCAAGGAAAGCUGUAGAGAUGCAAUCAGUCUUUGAAGAAUGCCACACUGGUGAAGCUGGGCUGACCACCACUGAAGUAGCAUCUCUUCCUGGAGGCUGCUCCUCUGUAGAGUUAGGGUGGCAAGCUAGGACUGAAAGCCUCAGAAUUGCGCAAGAAAUCAGCACCCAAAUCCUUCUAAAAGGGGAGCUAUAGGAAGACUUCUCACAGAGAUGACUGGAAGUUGAGAAGCAGUGGAAAGUAAUCCAUGUUUGCUUAAGAAUGAAGAUCAUUGUUUAUCCACAACAAUGCGAGUGGCUAAGAGAGUGCUUGACAGCAAAAAGAAAAACAAAACCAAACAGGUUGAAAUUCAAUAAAGUGACACGGUUAAGAAGAGAUCGGAAGGAGUGAAAACACACAGCAGCAGAUAUACAAAGUUGAAAAUACUGCUGAGUGAAGUAGAUAGUAGUGAAGCAGCAGAAAGAACAGAGAGAAGUGGCGUAUUAAUAUAUUACAUAAUUUCAAAUGAUUUGUUGUAUUUGUUUGGUAUUUCCAAACUCUUGCAAUAAACAGCUGACUACUUAUGAAUUUUAAAAGUUGUAACUUAAUUAUUUUCUUAGUUUCUCCAGUAUCCUCAGCAAUUUUUCAAUUUAUUACACUUGGUAAGUUGUUGCUUGUUGUUGUUGCUCUUUCUCUCAGCUUCUUCCCACUCUGUUUACAGACUUUUAAAUGCUUGUCUUUGGUUUUGAAUAUAUUUAAGCACUCUUUUAAUUCAUAUGAAUGACUCCAGCUCAUUUUGACACACUUUUGAUAACACACUUAUUGUAGUUAUAC